UACGAAGGGGGCUAGCGUUGUUCGGAAUUACUGGGCGUAAAGGGCGCGUAGGCGGCGUGUCAAGUCAGGCGUGAAAGCCCCGGGCUCAACCUGGGAACCGCGCUUGAGACUGGCAUGCUCGAGUUCGGGAGAGGAUGGUGGAAUUCCCAGUGUAGAGGUGAAAUUCGUAGAUAUUGGGAAGAACACCGAUGGCGAAGGCAGCCAUCUGGACCGACACUAACGCUGAGGCGCGAAAGCGUGGGGAGCAAACAGG
rnacentral:rRNA from 1 species